AACGAAAUAAAAAAUUGGGAACCUAACCCAGUCACUAUCAAAACAGCUAGUAGCCACUAACUUUUUGUCUUUUCAAAUCUCUAUACCAGCUUACCAACCGAUAGCAAGUUCCAAGAAAAUCUUUCAUUGCUGCUACCCUUAUCUUUUCAUAUCUUCUUUGGAGAUUUCUCAAUCCGGUUGCCUUGGCCUUCUCCCUUCUCGGUCGUGUUAGAGAUGAACGAGAUUUGCUCUCUCUAGCCAUGAACGGAGACGAUAUUUCGAGAUGAAAGGUCGUCUUCAAAACUAAGAGUUCACCUGUCAUCCCCCACAUCACCAUUCCCUAAGCCGAUCUAGAAGAUUCACCAUCAAAGGCUAUAUCAAAAUAGAUAGCUACUCUCUCGCUUCUCUCUCCCUGUCUCUGUCCACGACCAACAACUAAGAUUAUCCAAACGGUACAACAUAAUAGACGACAUUGUUUGCUGCUACUGAUAGUGAAGACCCAGGGCAUUGUAGAAAAACAUGGAUACCAUCUUCUUCCGCAUUAUGACAGCGAGGACAGAAGCUGUUUGCAACCACUCUCUUGAGUCUGAGAUUCGAUAGAGUAGGAAUAAAAUUCCAUAAGAUUCGCCAUAUAGUAAUAGUAAUUUUUUAUGGGAGAUGUAAAUUCCAUAGCUUUUUAUAGAAAUUUUUUGUUUCAGCCUGUAAUAAAUAAGAACUAGGAUCCAUACUAGCCUCUUGUAAUAGUUUAUAGGCACUUCGGACUAAAAAUUCGCCGGAAUGUUCUUCUGGCUAGACUUUAAAGUCAUCAUGUGCUUCUUUUGCCAAAGGAAUUUGCAGAAUUUUUUGUACUAUGUCCGCUCAAAAGUUCCACCGAUAUCAACUCCCGGUACCCACCGAUCGCUCCAGAUAGAAAUUUAGUCUCUCCUACCAACACGCCAGCAUAAGCCAUCUUUCAGUAACCCUUUUGCUGCCCAAAUGCUCUUCCAGGUAAGUGAAGGCCAAUGAGAAAGCCCCGUAGUACGUAUUAUCCUAGAAAGUGAAGAGAUAUUUGGUAGAUUGCCGCCGUAUAACAGCCUAAUUUUCAGUGGUGUCGGGAAUAGAGAUUUGAGAUCACUAAAUUUGACGAGUGAGUCAAAAAUUUAAUAAAUUAAUACCUAUGAGUCAAAUGUGAAUAUAGAAGUAUUUUUGAAUUAGUGAAUUUAGUGAUUUAAAAGAAUUAAUUAGGUAAAUUGGGUCGAGAAUGAGGUAUCGAGGCCUCGAAUUCAUAAACCAAGCCAUAAAUAUUUUUAGAAAUAUUUAUGGAGUGUUAGUGAGGUAGUAUUAAAAUUUCGUCAGAAAAUUUUGACUUUUGGGCGGUUAAUUAAAUAAAAAGGACUAAAAUUGAAAAAGGUGUAAAAGUUGUUAAAAGGAUUAAAUAGCUUAAUUGUCAAAUGAGGAAUGAUCUAAAGUUCAAAUAAGCCCAAAGGAGAUAUUUUGGGCGGCAAUAGCUGAGAAAAAUCAGGAAAAGGGUGAAAGAAGGGCAAAAUUGAAAAAUUGUCAAAAUUAGCUAAAUAAAAAUGGGACCAAAUUGAAAUAUCUAGAAUUCUCUUCAUUUUUCUUCAUUCUCAUCAGCCAAAACACCAUAGGAGGGGUUAUUUAAGCUGGUAUUCCAUAAUUUUUGCACCAAGUGAGUUAAUCCUUGUCUUUUUCUUAUAAUUUUUGUGUUUUUAAGACUUUUACAACUAGGUCCUACUAUUAAAUUCAUUAGUUUUUGAUUUCAUGGAUGAAAUUGAAAGUCAUCAUGGUUGAGCGUUGUAAGUUCAUGAUGAAGUAGCAUGAAAUUUAAGCUUUAAUUUGUUUAUGAGAUGAUUUUAUUAGGUAAUUUCAAUAGAAAUUGAUUUUUAGGACCUAAUUGUGAAAAUGUUUGGAAUUAAAGUCUAGUGCUAAAAUUAUAAUUCCCAAAGGUUAUAAAGCAGUUUAAAGUGAUAGAAUAAAGUGUUAAUUGAGAAAAAUCAGCUCAAUUGAGAGGCUAAUUGAGUAGGGACGAAAUUAUUAUUUAUUAAAAGCUUAGGGAAAAAUAGUAAUAAACAUCUUGCACUAAAACAGUUUUAGACAGUAGUAAUAUGCUAACUUUGAAAAAUCACCAUAAAUUGUAUAAAUUGAAUUAGAAGAUGAACAAAAUAUGGAAUUAAAGCUUAUUGAGUCUAGUUUCUCAUAGAAGAAACGGUGUAUGCAAUGGAUUGUAAAUCAUGAGAUAUAAUAAAUUUUGUGAGAUAAGGUCAGAAUGAUUUUGGGUUCCCCUAUUCUAACUUUGGAAAAUCAUAAAAAUUUUGAGAAAAAUAGUUAUGGGCUUAAAUUUAUAUUUUUAGAAUCCUGAAUAAGUCUAUUUUCAAGAUAAACAAACAAAAACAUUAUUUGAAACCUGUACAAGGAGAUAAUUAAUUUUUAGUGAAGAAGGGUAGGAACUGUCAGACAGCAAAAUAGGGGUAACUUUAAAGAAUAAAAUGUACUUAUUGGUUAAACCAAAAAUCAUGAAAAUUUUAUGGUAAGAAGAUACGAGAGUCUAGUUUCAGCAAAAAUUAUUGGAUCUUAAUUUGGAGUUCUUUAGCUAAAGAUAAAAAUAAUUUAAUAACUAUGACAUGGAUGGAUAGCAUGAAUAUUCACAUAAGUAAAUAGUGAAAAUUAUGGAUAAUGUUUGUAACAGCCCGAUUUAGGGCCUAGUCGAAACAGCGGUCUCAGGACCACAAAUAUUAAGCUAUAAAAGUAUUAUUUUAUUAUUUUUAUGAGGUUAUAGUAUGAUUUUAUUAGUGCAUGAAAAAUUUGGUGAGCUAAUUUUAAUGUUUUCUAGCCCAAUUUCGAAAAAGGACUAAAUUGCAUAAAAGGCAAAAGUUUCAUUUUAGUACCCAAAUGAGUUAAAUAGCUAAAGAACUUAAAUUGAGGGCUUUUAAAGGGCAAUUACAUCAUUUUUAUUAGUUUUGGCCUACCGUGUGAUGGGUUUUAAGCAAAUAGUCAAAGGGUUAGGUGGAUGAUGUCAUGAUUUAGUGAUAAAAUAAUGCCUAAAAGCCUAGCUAUCAUUUCUUUCUUCUCCAUCUCUCUUCUCCACCGAAAAUAUCAGCAAAAAUGGAGUUUUGAAGGCUGAAAAUUUUCAACAACUAAAAGCCCUUACAAAUCAAGAAUUACCAAAUCCGAACCUAGAUCGAGGGAAGGUCAAGCAAACCGACUAAACCGAAUAGUCGAGUACUUUUUGUGAACCGAGUGUUAUCAAGCUAACUUAAAGAUCCCUUAAAGUCAAAGAUAUCGAUCACACUAUCGGCCGCAAUACCUGGUAUAGUUGGAUUUAUAUUUUUUAUGGUGGCAUGUAUAGGGCUAGACUAGAUGUUGUAUUAAGAGAAUGGUUCAUGUAUUUUGGCUUAAGUCAAAGGCCCUUCAUUUUGUAAUCAAGCCUGGAAUAAUGGCUAUUAUUCAUUUUGAUGAAUGCAUAUAAUGUUCUUUCUAUGGAUGAA